GGAGAGAUGGCUCAGCGGUUAAGAGCACUAGGUGCUCUUCCAGAGGUCCUGAGUUCGAGUCUCAGCAACCCCA
rfam:Neotoma lepida isolate 417 scaffold_8270, whole genome shotgun sequence.